rnacentral:rRNA from 1 species
AUACGUAGGGAGCGAGCGUUGUCCGGAAUUACUGGGCGUAAAGAGCUCGUAGGUGGUUUGUCGCGUCGUCUGUGAAAUUCCGGGGCUUAACUCCGGGCGUGCAGGCGAUACGGGCAUAACUUGAGUACUGUAGGGGAGACUGGAAUUCCUGGUGUAGCGGGGAAAUGCGCAGAUAUCAGGAGGAACACCGGUGGCGAAGGGGGGUCUCUGGGCAGUAACUGACGCUGAGGAGCGAAAGCAUGGGUAGCGAACAGGAUUAGAUACCCUGGUAGUCCAUGCCGUAAACGGUGGGCGCUAGGUGUAGGGGUCUUCCACGACUUCUGUGCCGUAGCUAACGCAUUAAGCGCCCCGCCUGGGGAGUACGGCCGCAAGGCUAAAACUCAAAUGAAUGGACGGGG